rnacentral:sRNA from 1 species
GGGAUCAGGUGGAGCUUUUUCAGCAGGUGGGGACUUGAAAAUGUUUUAUGACAGCACGAAAUCAAAGGAUUCCUGCCUUGAAGUUGUUUCCAGAAUGUAUUGGCUUUGCUACCACAUUCAUACUUACAAGAAAACCCGGGUGGCUCUGGUUCACGGAAUUUCAAUGGGUGUGGAGGCGCAUCUUUGAUGGUUGGUCCCAAUGAAGUUCUCAGUAGUAGUCACUGAAAAAACUGAGUAACAUCUCUAUCCUCGGUGUUCACCGGCUUGAUAUUUACUUCUGCAAGUGAAAAUCAAAAUUUUCUGUGGUACAUUUCGUGAUAGGUUUUUUCCACUCCGGAAGCUAGCAUUGGCUUUCAUACCGAUUGUGGUUUCUCAUAUAUGCUUUUCCAUCUUCCCGGGCAUCUCGGGGAGUUCUUGGCCUUAACAGGAGCAAGGCUGAAUGGUAAGGAAUUGGUUGCAGCAGGACUAGCAACCCAUUUUGUCCCUCUUGAGAAAAUCUCUGUUCUAGAGAAGCGUUUGAUAAGCUUAAAACUCCGGAAAUGAGAAUGCAGUCAAAGCUGCGAUUGAAGAAUUUUCUGUGGAAGUCAAAGCGCCUGAUGAAGAAAGUGUUUUAAACAAGAAGUCGGUAAUUGAUGGGUGCUUCUCCAAAGAUACAGUGGCCGAGAUUAUACAAUCGUUUGAAGCAGAAGCAAACAAAGAAGGAAAUGGAUGGAUAGGUCCAGUUCUUAAGGGCUUAAAGAGGUCAUCACCUACAGGAUUGAGAAUAACUCUAAGAUCGGUACAGUUUCUUACAGUUUGAUAAUGCAUAUUGGGUUUUGAGUCCUACUGCUUAGUAGGAUGGUUUUGUGUCAUUUCUAGUUAAUGGAAGCCCGAAAAGUAUUCUCGUGACUUGAACAUCCAUGGGAAUGGAACCCCUUCACAAUUCCUUGUGCCUUGGAUCGAUACAUUUCAUGUUUAAGUUGCCACUUGACCUAUUAUUCUUCAGAAUCGCGAAGGCAGGAAGCAAACGUUGUCUGAAUCUCUGAAGAAGGAAUUUAGACUCACAAUCAAUAUAUUAAGAUCCACAAUUUCUGAGGAUGUUUAUGAGGUAAUUGUUGUAUAAUGAUAUUACUAACUAGAACAUGUAACUAUGGUCAUUCCCAUGCGGAAAAUUCCAUCUCACUCUGUUGGAGCGAAAUUUCCUAUGGGAAGAAAUAC